rnacentral:rRNA from 1 species
AUUGAACGCUGGCGGCAGGCCUAACACAUGCAAGUCGAGCGGAUGAAGGGAGCUUGCUCCUGGAUUCAGCGGCGGACGGGUGAGUAAUGCCUAGGAAUCUGCCUGGUAGUGGGGGAUAACGUCCGGAAACGGGCGCUAAUACCGCAUACGUCCUGAGGGAGAAAGUGGGGGAUCUUCGGACCUCACGCUAUCAGAUGAGCCUAGGUCGGAUUAGCUAGUUGGUGGGGUAAAGGCCUACCAAGGCGACGAUCCGUAACUGGUCUGAGAGGAUGAUCAGUCACACUGGAACUGAGACACGGUCCAGACUCCUACGGGAGGCAGCAGUGGGGAAUAUUGGACAAUGGGCGAAAGCCUGAUCCAGCCAUGCCGCGUAUGUGAAGAAGGUCUUCGGAUUGUAAAGCACUUUAAGUUGGGAGGAAGGGCAGUAAGUUAAUACCUUGCUGUUUUGACGUUACCAACAGAAUAAGCACCGGCUAACUUCGUG